rnacentral:rRNA from 1 species
GGGUCCGUAAGGGCCGUGCACAGGUGGUGCAUGGUUGUCGUCAGCUCGUGUCGUGAGAUGUUGGGUUAAGUCCCGCAACGAGCGCAACCCUCGUUCCAUGUUGCCAGCACGUAGUGGUGGGGACUCAUGGGAGACUGCCGGGGUCAACUCGGAGGAAGAGUGGGGAUGACGUCAAGUCAUCAUGCCCCUUAUGUCCAGGGCUUCACGCAUGCUACAAUGGCCGGUACAAAGGGUUGC